rnacentral:pre_miRNA from 1 species
GAGAAACCCUUCUGGGGCAAGACUUGCUUCAGUGGGGCUUUGGUGCUCACUGAGUCUGCCCCCCUGAGUGUGUACCU